UAGAAUUGCUUAAUUGCUAAAUUAUGUUUUGUUUUGUUUUGUUUUAGCUUCAGCAUUUCUUGUCCCUGUUGCCAAUGAUUCCCUCAAUGUGAUGUUAUUUUCCCCCUACUAAAUUGUUGUCUGUCUUCUCCAGCAGCUUCAUUUCCUUGGGCAUGUAUUCUAUUUGUUACAACUUGUCAUUCUGUCUUUGACUGCAGACCAUCCUUAGGUGGGAUUUGUUGUUGCCAUCACUCUUGUUGGAUGUCCAAUGGGAGCACCCAGGGCCGACAGGAGCGCCAGGCACAGGACCAGCCCUCCAUACAAGCUUGCUGAAUGACCAGUGAACAGAUGAUUAUUCUGGACCACAUUAGUGGUCGAAUCCCAGAAUGUGUCUGGACACACAAAUAAAUACCACCUACCACUCAUGACCGACAGUACUUUGCCCUUCCGAAGUACAAGCUCAGGCAGAUCUGCAAGUCCUUUCAAGGUCAAGGCUUUCCUGAAAGGAAAGAUUAAAACUCAGAACAAACCAA